rnacentral:lncRNA from 1 species
AUGAGACAACUCUCCACAAGAGACCACAAUGACAAGAAAAUAUAGGUCACCGUACGGCCUUUAACAAUUUUACAAUGAGCAAGCCCAACCGCAUAGUCAGCUAAAAGGCCGAUGACAAUGUAAAACAAAUCAAACAAGAAAACUAAGUGCCUUAUUUAUGUACAAAAAAUGAACGAAAACAAAAAUGUAACACAUGAACAAACGAUAACCACUGAAUUACUGGCUCCUGACUUGGGACAUGCGCAUACCUACAGAAUCUUACGGGGUUAAACAUGUAAGUGGGAUCCUCGUCCCAACAUUGGACAGUGGUAUAAUAAUACAGCAUAAGAACAAACUAUAAAAAUCAGUUGAAAAAGGCUUAACUCAUUAGAUGGAAAAAAAUACAAUAGGAGGUAAAAACUAGGUUUCAUAACUAUCGCAUUAACAAUGACAAAUUUAAUUAUAUUAACAACAAAGUGUGAAGAACUCAUAUCGGCGC